CAAUGUCUCUGAGCAUAUAUGUGAUAUAUCUGACUUGGUGAAUGGCCACUGGGAUGCAUUCGAAGCCUAAUGGAAACCACUGACUUCCAAGGGCCUUGCAUCAGGCCCUGUAAGCCAGCCCAGCCAGUCAUCAGGGAAGACUCAAUGUAGGAAGCAGAGAGGAAGUCAAGAGGACAUCCUACCUCAUGAAUCCAUAGAGCUCAAACUCACUUAACUCUGCUCCCAAGUUGGCAUGGGUCAGACACUGCUGUCUGGCAUGUGUUGACUGGAAAGAUGUCACUCAGCUCCAGGAGAUCAAUGGGGCUCACUGUGGAGUGAAGCAUUACUAGCAAGAACUUUCUAAAAACAAUACCCAAAGGAGUUGGAAAUUCCCCCUUGGAGUGUCAGCAGAUGCCCAGAAGGCAUCUCCAGGGACACUUAAUUCUCUGGAUCCUACCCAACUUAUACUGAAGUUAAUUGAAAAAACUCCCAUUGACUUGAAGAGGUUUUGGAUCUGGCUCAAAAGGCUCUUAGUGGCAGCAGAUCACAAGAAGGAACCCCACUGCGCAAGUCCAGCCAUCUGCUUGGGAACAAUCAGGCUGUGUUUACACGGGAGUCUGGAAAAGCACUCUUUUGAAUGUAUGUGUAUGCAUAUAUGAACGGCAUGCGAUAUAACCAUCUCAUUAAAUGGAAGGAUUUAUAUGGAAAAGAGAUUCUUUCUGAAAAGUGAAGAAUUGCACAUGGUGCAGAAGAGGAAGGAAAACCCAAGAAAACCUCAAAAGCUCCCCAAUGCCAAGGCAAUUGUUUGCUGCUCAGCACUAAUUAGGCUAAAAAAUAAUAGUAAUAGUGGUAAUUUGAAAUUAAAUUUCUGUGCGCAGUCAUGCAUGUAAGUGGGAAUCUAUUUCCUGCCAGCAAUUCUGGUAAGAUUUCAGAACUUGACUCUUUAGAGAGAAAAAAAAUGGCCAAAAUGAAUUGAUUUAAACAUACAGAUGUACAAUUGUAACAGUCUUCCUGCAUUACUUGCCUUUAAUGAGAAUAAACUGUCAUUGGCACUGUUCCCAGGCAAAUACCAAGAAAUGCUUAACCUUAUAUAGGGCUCUCAUGAACCACACAGUAUGCCAGGUAAAGGAUGUCUUUGCAAUGAAACUAGCUCAAGCGAUCAUGUAGAAACUGUUUAUUUAAUCUUAUUUUUAAUUAGCAUUUUGCCUGAUUUCCCCGCAAUUAUUUUUUUUGUCUAACACUUGCUUUACUUAACUAGUAGAAUCAAGUAAAUCCUAUUUUUCAUGUUCUGGUUACAAUACUUAAUAAGCCAAGAAGUACUCUAAGCUACAGUGGUUACUAUGGGGUCCUUUGGAAAGAUUUUGACAGUUUCAGAGCAUUCCCUCAUAAUGAAAAUGGAAGAGCCAGUAAGCAAAGUAUGAUGGUAGAUUUUAGAAGCUUCCAUAGACACUGGAGACUCAUUAUGCAUCAUGCAUACUGCAAAUGCUUCUUUCUCUUAACAGACUAUAGCUUAAAUAAAUAAGAGAUUGAUGGAGAAAUGAGUGACACAACUUGCAAAAUGCUACUCUUCUCCAAAGUCCAUAACAGCACCCCAUGAACUGAGGGAGGACUCAAAAAUUAAUCCAGUCUGGCAGUGAGUGAAAUUAGUUUGCACUUAUUUAAUGAA